rnacentral:rRNA from 1 species
CGUAUCUCUGGUGGAUCUGUUGUCCUGCCAAGGGCAUAGCAGAGUAGCUAUAUACGGAAUGGAUAACCGCUGAAGGCAUCUAAGCGGGAAACCAACCUGAAAACGAGUGUUCCCUAUCAGAGCCGUGGAAGACGACCACGUCGAUAGGACGGGUGUGGAAGUGCAGUAAUGCAUGAAGCUUACCGUUACUAAUAGCUCGAGCGACUUCUUCGUUCCCAUU